rnacentral:misc_RNA from 1 species
UACCUACCUCACAGCUCACACUGUCGCACACAGUCCCACUCACACGUCCGACUACACACUUGUUGUAUUUAUUGAGAGCCUGUGUGGAAUUAGCUUUCGGAAGGUUGUCAUUUUUGUUGAUUGUUAUUGUAAUGCCUAUUUUAAAUCUUCGGUGGUAACUCCGGAUUCAUAGCAGAAGUAAUUUGUGCGACCAUUGAAUUUGAGUUUAAAAAUCGACCGCCAGUAGCGUUUGUUAGUAAACGAUCACAGUAGAUAGACGUCACCACGUUGCGUCUUCACGUCUCUAAUUAUCCACGUAUCUCCUGUAAUUUUAUCUGCAUGUGUAUAUAAUCAAUUCUUAUUAUAUAUGUCGUCAAUACCAGUUUUUAUAUAAUAUCAAUCCAUUCCAUUCCUUUUGCUAUCUACAGUGUAUGUGUGAUUAAACUUAUACAAAAGAAGGACUUGCAUAUUAAACCCGUUCGUGAUGUGGACAUGUGUUACUGUAACGUGCAGAGAUGCUACAUGGGCAUCUGCCAUUAAUGAAGAAUUAUCUAUCCUAAACAGUCAAAGCCUAUUGAAUUCACAGUUAUGUGUAAUUUCACCAGAUCCUAGAGGUACUGAGGGUGAUGGAGAAGCAACUCUUAAUGCCUUGUUGGUUACGCUGGAAAGGCUCAACAACAUUAGAGACUUUCAAAAUGGAGGAACAUUUGGUGAAAUCCUGGCUGAAUCACACAUCUUGAUUGUUCAUCAUGGAAGGUCAACAAAAAACCCAUUUUGUUAUUGGCCUAAUGGCACUGCUGUUUUGCCAACACAGAAUAAGAAUAAAAAUGGAUCAGGAUUGGAAACAUAUCUUGAAUUCAUUACGAAUAUAUGCCAUCAGUUGAAGGAAAAGGCAUCUCCUGGAGUAUGGGUUGCUUCAACUGAUUUGAUUCUUUCUGGUUAUACAAAAGAGCCCUUUAAUUGGCCUAUUCCUUCACCGGAUGCUCUAGUGAUAACCCUGCAGUGUCAACAUGGGGAUGCAAUUUAUUGUGACUCAGUGAACUUGAGGAAGCAGGAGGAGGGAAUAGUGGAUUCCCUUUCAUUUCUUUUGCCAGACGAAAAUCCCACAGAAUUGAAACUAAAUAUAAAUAGCGGAAUCGUCUAUCUGAAAUCGACGAUUGCAACGAGGUUGCUUUCUUUGAGCAGCAAGUGUCCUUUUCAUCGCUGUACAUAUUUUGGCGAGGAUAACGGAAACCAGAUAUUACAGUUGUCUUUGUUUUAUGACCUGCUUGGACCUCUUUGGGUUAAAGACAAAAAUGCUUAUUUGUCUGGUGGUAUGAACCAGUUACGUGAUAACAUUAUUGGCAUUACAAAUGAUGGAGACAAAGUUAAAGCUAGAUCAAUGCUUUGGGAGGAACUUCAUGAAUUUCAACUAUGUGCAUCUCCUCUUCACCAGUUAAACUUUGUUAACUGGACCGCUCUUCCACUGGGGAAAAUAUUGCGUCGGGAUUCCCUAUUUCCUGCGUCUACAGAUCAGCCGGCAGUUCUAAAUUGCUCAAUUAAACAAAAUGCGCCAGCCGUGUGCAUAAACAGCGUGAUCGAGUCAAACUUGUACGACAAUGAGUUGUUAAUGAUUUCAUCUUCCAUUCAAUCUGUCCAACCAGAUAGGUUUUUGCGAUUUGCAGGAAGGGCCUACUUACUGAAUACGAAAGUAGACAUGGACGAGAUACCCGAGUUUUAUUUGAAUGACAACGUCUGUAUGAUUGGAUACUGGAUUCGCCUAGGCAAGGAAAUAAAAUUGGGAAGAUCUCUUUUUUCGGCUGUGGACAUCCCAAUUCUAGAAUGCAGCCAUCCACGCGCAACUGUCUUUGGCAUGGAUUGGUCUGGAUUUUUCUUACGGAAAGGCAUUGAACCAAAGGACGUAUGGGCACCAGAUAUUGGUGUUCAUUCACUUAUGACCGCACGACUUUUUCCCUUGACCAAAGACGUAAAUAGCUGGAAAGAUCUUCUCUGGCUUCAAGAUAUCGAUGGCGUUACAGAGUCUCGACUCGAGAGCUGGCGUAACAGCAAGAGAUAUUCGAUGGAAGAUUUUUACCAACUAUGUGACCCAGAAGCUGCUCUUCGCAAUCUUAGAUUGAUCAACACCACCGCCAUUUUAGGAUCGAUUUCUCGCUGGCCGGGUUCAUUAGCUCCUUAUUUUCGUCGGGCUUGUGCUGAAAACUGGACCGACUCUUUGCUCAGCGCUCUGGACCAAGCCGCAUUAGAAAGUGAAAGACGUGAUUUUCCACGAAUAUUAGCUGCUAUCGCUGACCUACUGGCAUCGAAAGCUGGCUCUCUUAGUGGUGUACGCAACGGCCCUGCCACCAAUAAGGAAUGGAUUCCGGCCUUUCGCCUUUUAGAGCACUCCUUGCAUGAUGCCGUCCUUGCCCUAGCUCAUGAACGGACUAAAUGGUUAGGAACUCCGGAACUUUUGAUCCGUGCGGCACGUCACUAUGACCGCACCGUCCAUAUUCUCACACGUGAAACUGUCAAAAGUGUGCAAAAUCAUAUGGUCAAGAACUGUGACAUUUCCAUUACAAACAGGCCUUCUGUUGGUGAAUGGGUCGAAUCGGAAUGUCCAGCUAGACUUGAUCUUUCUGGGGGCUGGUCUGAUACUCCUCCGAUUUGUUACGAAAUUGGUGGCAGCGUUGUUAAUGUUGCGAUCCUGGUUAAUGGAGAGAAACCAAUUGGAGCUCGAGGAAGAAGACUCGAAAAAUUUCAACUUGUGUUAGUUUCUGAGGGUCAGUCGGAACCACUGGUUAUUUCUUCGAUUGACCAAUUAAUGGACUAUAAUAAUCCAACUGCACCCGGGGCCCUUUUAAAGGCAGCUUUAAUUUGCGCUGGUGUAGUACAAGGAGGUUGUCGUCAUGAUUUGUCGCAGCAGCUUGAAAAGACCUUGGGCAGUGGUUUGGAAUUGCAUUGCUGGUCUAAAUUACCUACUGGUUCCGGAUUGGGUACCAGCAGUAUUCUAGCUUCGGCAUUGCUAGCGGUCAUUUAUCAUGUAAUGGGAUACAAGUUCAACCGUUCACAUCUUAUUCAUGCGGUUUUGCAUAUCGAACAGCUCUUAACAACAGGAGGUGGAUGGCAGGAUCAGCUGGCGUGAUGGGAGGUUGCAACAGAGGUAAUUCUUUUGCUGAUCCAAAUGUGCAGGUUCAUGUCGAGAAGAUCCAACUUUCAGAACAGACCGUCAAAUUCAUGGAUCACCGUCUGCUUCUAGUUCAUACAGGAAAGGUCAGACUUGCCA